GUUCUACCUUGACGAAUUGUAGUUUAAAGAAGUGUUUUCUGUUAGAGGAGUAGCAAAAGUUCCUUGGAAUGGGACAUCAUAGAGGGUGAGAAUCCCGUAUUUGGUUAUUCUUUCUAGCUUUGUGAUACACUUUCAAAGAGUCGGAUUGUUUGGGAAUGCAGUCCAAAAUGGGUGGUAAAUUUCAUCUAAAGCUAAAUAUUGGCGAGAGACCGAUAGCGAACAAGUACCGUGAGGGAAAGAUGAAAAGAACUUUGAAAAGAGAGUUAAACAGUACGUGAAAUUGUCGAAAGGGAAGCGUUUGACACCAGUGUUGUUUUUCCGAAAAUCAAUUAAGAACGGCUUGAUUUUGUGUUGUAUUGACCUUAUCAGCUUUCUUCACUCUUUUUCGAGUCUUUCUU
rnacentral:rRNA from 1 species